rnacentral:rRNA from 1 species
AUGGCUCAGGAUGAACGCUAGCGGCAGGCUUAACACAUGCAAGUCGAGGGGCAUCGGGAGUAGCAAUACUGCCGGCGACCGGCGCAAGGGUGCGUAACGCGUGAGCAACAUGCCCGUAUCAGGGGGAUAAUCCAUGGAAACGUGGUCUAAUACCCCAUAGUAAUUAUGUAAGGCAUCUUAUAUAAUUUAAAGCUUUGGUGGAUACGGAUUGGCUCGCGUGACAUUAGCUAGGUGGUAAGGUAACGGCUUACCAUGGCUACGAUGUCUAGGGGUUCUGAGAGGAAGGUCCCCCACACUGGAACUGAGACACGGUCCAGACUCCUACGGGAGGCAGCAGUGAGGAAUAUUGGACAAUGGAUGGAAAUCUGAUCCAGCCAUGCCGCGUGCAGGAAGACGGCCCUAUGGGUUGUAAACUGCUUUUGUAUGGGAGCAAUAAGGGCUACGCGUAGUCCGAUGAGAGUACCAUACGAAUAAGCACCGGCUAACUCCGUGCCAGCCGCCGC